rnacentral:rRNA from 1 species
UACGGAGGGGGUUAGCGUUGUUCGGAAUUACUGGGCGUAAAGCGUGCGCAGGCGGUUUUGUAAGUCUGUCGUGAAAGCCCCGGGCUCAACCUGGGAAUUGCGAUGGAGACUGCAAGGCUUGAAUCUGGCAGAGGGGGGUAGAAUUCCACGUGUAGCAGUGAAAUGCGUAGAGAUGUGGAGGAACACCGAUGGCGAAGGCAGCCCCCUGGGUCAAGAUUGACGCUCAUGCACGAAAGCGUGGGGAGCAAACAGG